rnacentral:rRNA from 1 species
CCUACGGGGGGCUGCAGUGGGGAAUAUUGGACAAUGGGGGGAACCCUGAUCCAGCCAUGCCGCGUGUGUGAAGAAGGCCCUCGGGUUGUAAAGCACUUUCAGUGAGGAAGAACGCCUGGUGGUUAAUACCCAGCAGGAAAGACAUCACUCACAGAAGAAGCACCGGCUAACUCCGUGCCAGCAGCCGCGGUAAUACGGAGGGUGCGAGCGUUAAUCGGAAUUACUGGGCGUAAAGCGCGCGUAGGUGGCUUGAUAAGCCGGUUGUGAAAGCCCCGGGCUCAACCUGGGAACGGCAUCCGGAACUGUCAAGCUAGAGUGCAGGAGAGGAAGGUAGAAUUCCCGGUGUAGCGGUGAAAUGCGUAGAGAUCGGGAGGAAUACCAGUGGCGAAGGCGGCCUUCUGGACUGACACUGACACUGAGGUGCGAAAGCGUGGGUAGCAAACAGGAUUAGAUACCCUAGUAGUC